rnacentral:ncRNA from 1 species
CCUUUGGAGAGCCAUACAAAAUCGUAGUAGCUUAAUGCAAGGCGAGGUUCUAUGAAGAAGGAA